GUUAGCCUUUGGGGCAAGGUGCAAAAGAGAAAUCUUUUAAUUCCUGACCGGCGGUACAGCCCGCGAGCCGUUAUACGGCUGAUCUGGUGUAAAUUCCAGAGCCGACAGUAUAGUCUGGAUGGUAAAAGGCGCAA
rnacentral:ncRNA from 1 species